UAUAUGUGAAGCGAACUUUUGGAAAAUGCUUACGCGCAUACUUAUCGUAAUUGUUCAGAUUUUAAUCUGGCAGCACAGUAUUUAUUGUUAUCCAGGCGAUCCGCCAGUCGAAGCCUGCUCUGAACGCCCUAGCAUUAAGGGUUGUGUUACGCGCGAUCCGAAAUAUUUUUUUAUUGCAUCAGUGCAAAGGUGUUUCGAAAGAUAUGCAUGUUCAGGUGGAUUUCAUUAUCUCACCGAUUGUCUGAAUAUAUGCAGGGAUGUGGCAAAGGUUGCCGGAAAUAAGGCAAUGAAAAUUCUCUCCGAAAUUUACAAGGGCUCAGUAUUUGAAAGUCAUUUCAAGGACAAAAUAAAAAAGCAGAAGGAAAUAGAAAAAAAAGCUGAAGCUGAAAGGAAGAGACAGCUAGAAAUCGAAAAACAAAGAUUAAGGCAAGCUAAUGUUCAUCAAAUAUUUGGAAAGCAGCAAGAAAGCAAAAAAACAAAAGAAAAUCCUACAGAAAAACCAUAACUAAAGAUAAAAGAAUCCGACCAGUCAGCAUUGGAAAUCUAGAAUUUGAGGAACUUACGAUUAUAUGUUCAUCUAUGUCGGUAGAGCAUUUACAAACAGAUGCCAACUAUUUUACUUUACUAUUUACUGGCCUAUCGUUUUAUAUAAAUUAUUUAAAUAAAUAUACUUACAUUAUA